CAGCAGCCGCGGGAACACGAAGGGUGCAAGCGUUACUCGGAAUUACUGGGCGUAAAGCGUGUGUAGGUGGUUGUUUAAGUCUGUCGUGAAAGCCCUGGGCUCAACCUGGGAAUUGCGAUGGAUACUGGGCGACUAGAGUGCGGUAGAGGAUAGUGGAAUUUCCGGUGUAGCAGUGAAAUGCGUAGAGAUCGGAAGGAACAUCUGUGGCGAAGGCGACUAUCUGGGCCAACACUGACACUGAGACACGAAAGCGUGGGGAGCAAACAGGAUUAGAUACCCCAGUAGUCCCUGUCUCUUAUAC
rnacentral:rRNA from 1 species